rnacentral:rRNA from 1 species
UUUCCGGUUGAUCCCGCCGGACCUGACUGCUAUCGGAUUGAUACUAAGCCAUGCUAGUCUUUGUAGUAAUACAAGGCAUACGGCUCAGUAACGCGUAGUCAACCUACCCUAUGGACGGGGAUAAUCUCGGGAAACUGAGCAUAAUACCCGGCAGACCACUUAUCCUGGAAUGGUUAGUGGUUAAAAUGAUUCGUCGCCAUAGGAUGGGACUGCGGCCUAUCAGCUUGUUGGUGAGGUAAUGGCCCACCAAGGCGAUUACAGGUACGGGCUCUGAGAGGAGAGGCCCGGAGAUGGGUACUGAGACAAGGACCCAGGCCCUAUGGGGCGCAGCGGGCGAGAAAACUUUGCAAUGUGCGAAAGCACGACAAGGUUAAUCCGAGUGAUUUCUGCUAAAGGAAUCUUUUGUUAGUUCUAAAAAUACUAGUGAAUAAGGGGUGGGCAAGUUCUGGUGUCAGCCGCCGCGGUAAAACCAGCACCUCAAGUGGUCAGGAGGAUUAUUGGGCCUAAAGCAUCCGUAGCCUGUUCUAUAAGUUUGCGGUUAAAUCUAUACGCUCAACGUAUAGGCUGCCGUAAAUACUGUAGAACUAGGGAGUGGGAGAGGUAGACGGUACUCGAUAGGAAGGGGUAAAAUCCUUUGAUCUAUUGAUGACCACCU